rnacentral:rRNA from 1 species
AACGAACGCUGGCGGCAUGCCUAACACAUGCAAGUCGAACGAGACCUUCGGGUCUAGUGGCGCACGGGUGCGUAACGCGUGGGAAUCUGCCCUUAGGUUCGGAAUAACAGUUAGAAAUGACUGCUAAUACCGGAUGAUGACUUCGGUCCAAAGAUUUAUCGCCUAAGGAUGAGCCCGCGUAGGAUUAGCUUGUUGGUGAGGUAAAAGCUCACCAAGGCGACGAUCCUUAGCUGGUCUGAGAGGAUGAUCAGCCACACUGGGACUGAGACACGGCCCAGACUCCUACGGGAGGCAGCAGUGGGGAAUAUUGGACAAUGGGCGAAAGCCUGAUCCAGCAAUGCCGCGUGAGUGAUGAAGGCCUUAGGGUUGUAAAGCUCUUUUACCCGGGAUGAUAAUGACCGUACCGGGAGAAUAAGCUCCGGCUAACUCCGUGCCAGCCGCCGCAGUAA